rnacentral:rRNA from 1 species
AACGAACGCUGGCGGCGUGCCUAACACAUGCAAGUCGAACGAGAAAGGGGCUUCGGCUCCGAGUAAAGUGGCGCACGGGUGAGUAACACGUGGGUAACCUGCCUCUAAGAUUGGGAUAACUCGUCGAAAGAUGAGCUAAUACCGAAUAAGACCACAGUUCCCGCGGGAACAGGGGUCAAAGGUAGCCUCUGCUUGCAAGCUAUCACUUAGAGAUGGGCCUGCGCACCAUUAGCUAGUUGGUAGGGUAACGGCCUACCAAGGCAAAGAUGGUUAGCUGGUCUGAGAGGAUGGUCAGCCACACUGGAAAUGGGACACGGGCCAGACUCCUACGGGAGGCAGCAGUGGGGAAAAUUGCGCAAUGGGGGAAAGCUUGACGCAACAACGCCGCGUGAGUGAUGAAGGCCUUCGGGUCGUAAAGCUCUGUCGGGAGGAACGAAUGCUCCUGAGGUUAACAGCCUCGGGAGGUGACGGUACCUUCAAAGGAAGCACCGGCUAACUCUGUG